rnacentral:rRNA from 1 species
GGACUACUAGGGUUUCUAAUCCUGUUCGCUCCCCACGCUUUCGCUCCUCAGCGUCAGUAUCGGCCCAGAGACCCGCCUUCGCCACCGGUGUUCCUCCUGAUAUCUGCGCAUUUCACCGCUACACCAGGAAUUCCAGUCUCCCCUACCGAACUCAAGUCUGCCCGUAUCGACCGCAAGCUUGAAGUUAAGCCUCAAGUUUUCACGGUCGACGCGACAAACCGCCUACGAGCUCUUUACGCCCAAUAAUUCCGGACAACGCUCGCACCCUACGUAUUACCGCGGCGGCUGGCAC